AUUGACCUCGGAUCAGGUAGGGAUACCCGCUGAACUUAAGCAUAUCAAUAAGCGGAGGAAAAGAAACCAACAGGGAUUGCCUCAGUAACGGCGAGUGAAGCGGCAACAGCUCAAAUUUGAAAUCUGGCCCCGUCGGGGUCCGAGUUGUAAUUUGUAGAGAGUGUUUCGGGUGAGACCACGGUCUAAGUCUAUUGGAACAUGGCGUCAUAGAGGGUGAGAAUCCCGUAUGUGACCGUGGCUCGAGCCCAUGUGAAGCCUCUUCGACGAGUCGAGUUGUUUGGGAAUGCAGCUCAAAAUGGGUGGUAAAUUUCAUCUAAAGCUAAAUACUGGCUGGAGACCGAUAGCGCACAAGUAGAGUGAUCGAAAGAUGAAAAGCACUUUGGAAAGAGAGUCAAAAAGUACGUGAAAUUGUUGAAAAGGAAGCGCUUGCAACCAGACCUGUCCGUAGGUGAUCAACCGCUGUUCUCAGUGGUGCACUCGCUCUGCGAUCAGGCCAGCAUCGGUUCCGGCGGUCGGAUAAAGGCCUUGGGAAUGUAGCUGCCUUCGGGGAGUCUUAUAGCCCUCGGUGCAAUGCGGCCAGCCGGGACCGAGGACCGCGCUUCGGCUAGGAUGCUGGCGUAAUGGUUGUAAGCGACCCGUCUUGAAACACGGACCAAGGAGUCUAACAUCUAUGCGAGUGUUUGGGUGUUAAACCCAUGCGCGGAAUGAAAGUGAACGGAGGUGAGAACCCUUUAGGGCGCAUCAUCGACCGAUCCAGAUGUCUUCGGAUGGAUUUGAGUAUGAGCAUAGCUGUUGGGACCCGAAAGAUGGUGAACUAUGCCUGAAUAGGGUGAAGCCAGAGGAAACUCUGGUGGAGGCUCGCAGCGGUUCUGACGUGCAAAUCGAUCGUCAAAUUUGGGUAUAGG
rnacentral:rRNA from 1 species